rnacentral:rRNA from 1 species
UACGUAGGGUGCAAGCGUUAAUCGGAAUUACUGGGCGUAAAGCGUGCGCAGGCGGUGAUGUAAGACAGGUGUGAAAUCCCCGGGCUUAACCUGGGAACUGCAUUUGUGACUGCAUCGCUGGAGUGCGGCAGAGGGGGGUGGAAUUCCGCGUGUAGCAGUGAAAUGCGUAGAGAUGCGGAGGAACACCGAUGGCGAAGGCACUUUACUGGGCUAUUACUAACACUCAGAGACGAAAGCUAGGGUAGCAAAUGGG